UAUUAUUUUAGAUGUAAAUUAUUUAAACUUGAGUAGUAGUAGUUAAGGUCUUGAAACUUAAAGAAUUUGGCGGUAUUUUAGUCUAUUUAGAGGAAUCUGUCCCAUAAUCGAUAAUCCACGUUGGACCUUACUUGAUUUAUUUAGUAUGUAUACCGCCGUUGUUGAAGAUCUUUAUAGGGUUUUUUAAUUUUUAUAAUAUUUAUUUUAUAAUUUUUCAGGUCAAGGUGCAGUUUAUAAUCAAGUGGUGAUGGAUUACAAUAUCUUUAGGUAUAUGAAUUUUUACUUUUAAUUUAGUGAAAUGAAGGUGGAUUUAAUAGUAAUUUUAUGAAGAUUGUUAAAGUGAUUAUAGCUCUAAAAUAUGUACACAUCGCCCGUCGCUCUCGUUAAUUUAAGGUGAG
rnacentral:rRNA from 1 species